GGGGCUGACUUGGAUUUCGACAGAUUUCUUGUCGCACAGAUAGCAUGCCAAGCGCUGCUUGUAAAACAGCAACAAAAAUAACUGUAAACAACACAGAUUACGCUCCAGCUUACGCUAAAGCUGCGUGAGUUAAUCUCCUUUUGGAGCUGGACUGAUUAGAAUUUCUAGCGUUUUAAUCACUCCAUAACCUUAAGCUAGACGCUUUUAAAAGGUGGUUCGCCUUUUAAACUAAGAAACAAGAACUCUUGAAACUACCUCAAGGUUUUAGAAAGUUGGACCAGAGCUAGUUUUAAGGCUAAAAAACCAACCAAUUUUCUAAGCAUUGUAGAAGUUUGUGUUUAGGGCAAGAUUUUUGGACUGGGGUUCGAUUCCCCACAGCUCCACCA
rnacentral:tmRNA from 1 species